GUGCCAGCCGCCGCGGUAAUACGUAGGUGGCAAGCGUUGUCCGGAUUUAUUGGGCGUAAAGCGAGCGCAGGCGGAAAAAUAAGUCUAAUGUGAAAGCCCUCGGCUUAACCGAGGAACUGCAUCGAAAACUGUUUUUCUUGAGUGCAAAAGAGGAGAGUGGAACUCCAUGUGUAGCGGUGGAAUGCGUAGAUAUAUGGAAGAACACCAGUGGCGAAGGCGGCUCUCUGGUCUGCAACUGACGCUGAGGCUCGAAAGCAUGGGUAGCGAACAGGAUUAGAUACCCUGGUAGUCCAUGCCGUAAACGAUGAGUGCUAAGUGUUGGGAGGUUUCCGCCUCUCAGUGCUGCAGCUAACGCAUUAAGCACUCCGCCUGGGGAGUACGACCGCAAGGUUGAAACUCAAAGGAAUUGACGGGGGCCCGCACAAGCGGUGGAGCAUGUGGUUUAAUUCGAAGCAACGCGAAGAACCUUACCAGGUCUUGACAUCUAGUGCAAUCUGUAGAGAUACGGAGUUCCCUUCGGGGACGCUAAGACAGGUGGUGCAUGGCUGUCGUCAGCUCGUGUCGUGAGAUGUUGGGUUAAGUCCCGCAACGAGCGCAACCCUUGUUAUUAGUUGCCAGCAUUAAGUUGGGCACUCUAAUGAGACUGCCGGUGACAAACCGGAGGAAGGUGGGGAUGACGUCAAGUCAUCAUGCCCCUUAUGACCUGGGCUACACACGUGCUACAAUGGGCAGUACAACGAGAAGCAAGCCUGCGAAGGCAAGCGAAUCUCUGAAAGCUGUUCUCAGUUCGGACUGCAGUCUGCAACUCGACUGCACGAAGCUGGAAUCGCUAGUAAUCGCGGAUCAGCACGCCGCGGUGAAUACGUUCCCGGGCCUUGUACACACCGCCCGUCACACCAUGGGAGUCUGCAAUACCCAAAGCCGGUGGCCUAACCUUCGGGAAGGAGCCGUCUAAGGCAGGGCAGAUGACUGGGGGUGAAGUCGUAACAAGGUAGCC
rnacentral:rRNA from 1 species